rnacentral:rRNA from 1 species
GAUGAACGCUGGCGGCGUGCCUAAUACAUGCAAGUCGAGCGAACGGACGAGAAGCUUGCUUUUCUGAUGUUAGCGGCGGACGGGUGAGUAACACGUGGAUAACCUACCUAUAAGACUGGGAUAACUUCGGGAAACCGGAGCUAAUACCGGAUAAUAUUUUGAACCGCAUGGUUCAAAAGUGAAAGACGGUCUUGCUGUCACUUAUAGAUGGAUCCGCGCUGCAUUAGCUAGUUGGUAAGGUAACGGCUUACCAAGGCAACGAUGCAUAGCCGACCUGAGAGGGUGAUCGGCCACACUGGAACUGAGACACGGUCCAGACUCCUACGGGAGGCAGCAGUAGGGAAUCUUCCGCAAUGGGCGAAAGCCUGACGAAGCAACGCCGCGUGAGUGAUGAAGGUCUUCGGAUCGUAAAACUCUGUUAUUAGGGAAGAACAUAUGUGUAAGUAACUGUGCACAUCUUGACGGUACCUAAUCAGAAAGCCACGGCUAACUACGUGCCAGCAGCCGCGGUAAUACGUAGGUGGCAAGCGUUAUCCGGAAUUAUUGGGCGUAAAGCGCGCGUAGGCGGUUUUUUAAGUCUGAUGUGAAAGCCCACGGCUCAACCGUGGAGGGUCAUUGGAAACUGGAAAACUUGAGUGCAGAAGAGGAAAGUGGAAUUCCAUGUGUAGCGGUGAAAUGCGCAGAGAUAUGGAGGAACACCAGUGGCGAAGGCGACUUUCUGGUCUGUAACUGACGCUGAUGUGCGAAAGCGUGGGGAUCAAACAGGAUUAGAUACCCUGGUAGUCCACGCCGUAAACGAUGAGUGCUAAGUGUUAGGGGGUUUCCGCCCCUUAGUGCUGCAGCUAACGCAUUAAGCACUCCGCCUGGGGAGUACGACCGCAAGGUUGAAACUCAAAGGAAUUGACGGGGACCCGCACAAGCGGUGGAGCAUGUGGUUUAAUUCGAAGCAACGCGAAGAACCUUACCAAAUCUUGACAUCCUUUGACAACUCUAGAGAUAGAGCUUUCCCCUUCGGGGGACAAAGUGACAGGUGGUGCAUGGUUGUCGUCAGCUCGUGUCGUGAGAUGUUGGGUUAAGUCCCGCAACGAGCGCAACCCUUAAGCUUAGUUGCCAUCAUUAAGUUGGGCACUCUAAGUUGACUGCCGGUGACAAACCGGAGGACGGUGGGGAUGACGUCAAAUCAUCAUGCCCCUUAUGAUUUGGGCUACACACGUGCUACAAUGGACAAUACAAAGGGCAGCGAAACCGCGAGGUCAAGCAAAUCCCAUAAAGUUGUUCUCAGUUCGGAUUGUAGUCUGCAACUCGACUACAUGAAGCUGGAAUCGCUAGUAAUCGUAGAUCAGCAUGCUACGGUGAAUACGUCCCCGGGUCU